rnacentral:rRNA from 1 species
GACGAACGCUGGCGGCGCGCUUAACACAUGCAAGUCGAGCGAGAACCAGGGCUUCGGCUCUGGGGACAGCGGCGAACGGGUGAGUAACACGUGAGUAAUCUGCCCUCGACACUGGGAUAGCCCGGGGAAACCCGGAUUAAUACCGGAUAGCCUUUCGAGCUCUCGGGCUCGUCAGAAAAGGAUGGCUUCGGCUUUCGGUUGAGGAUGAGCUUGCGGCGGAUUAGCUUGUUGGUGAGGAACGGCUCACCAAGGCGACAAUCCGUAGCUGGUCUGAGAGGACGAUCAGCCACACUGGGACUGAGACACGGCCCAGACUCCUACGGGAGGCAGCAGUGGGGAAUCUUGCGCAAUGGGCGAAAGCCUGACGCAGCGACGCCGCGUGGGGGAUGAAGGCCUCGGUU